rnacentral:rRNA from 1 species
AUGCCUACUACUUGUUGUGAUGAUUAUGAUUGGGAAGAUAAUGAUACUUCUUAUAAUAUUGGGAAUAUUUUUGGCACCAACUUGGGAAAUUAUCAUGAUAGUAAUUGUUAUACCAUUGGUGCCAUUCAUACUAUUAAUGAUGAGAAUGAUUAUGCUUAUGAUAUGCCAAGCCACAAGCUUGGGGAUGCUAUGUUUGAUGAGAAUGACAUGUUUGAGAAUUUAUUUGCUGAAAUUAAUGUUUGUCCCAAGCUUGGGGAUGCUAUGUUUAAUGAAGAUGAUCAUUUUAGUCCCCCUACUUUGAAUGAUCAAACUUUCUAUGAUGGUUGCAUGCCUCUGUCUAUGAUGAGAACAAAGUUGCUACUUAUGAUGAUUAUUGUGAUGAUACUUAUGUUAUAA